AUUAUGUUUUAAUUUAUUGUGAGCCUGUUUGUUUUUCUCCCUUCUUCCUCCUCUGUUCCCAGGGUGAGGCAGGUCAACCAGGACAAAAAGGAGAGAGAGGACUGACUGGGGCCAAAGGGGAUAUGGGAAUGCCAGGACCACCAGGAAGACCUGGCCCCCCAGGACCAACAGUAGGACAAAUGUUAAAUCAAUAAUUCAAGCAAGAAUCAAAUGCAGACAGUUUUUUUUUU
ensembl:lncRNA